CUCGGGGUGAUCAACAAGCUACCUGGUGGC
rnacentral:piRNA from 1 species